rnacentral:lncRNA from 1 species
GGGCGUUUCCCAUGCAUUUCGCACAGUCCACGGCACUAUUCCGUGGACCGAUCGCGAUCGGAGGGCGUGGGUUGAUCUAUUUUUUGAUCUGACGGUUCAGAACCUGAUUUGGAUUGAUUAAGGACUCUUAAACCUAAUCUAAUUAGGUUUUAACCCUUUAAAAGGGCCUGUGGACGAACAGUAAAGAGUGGUUCGGGUUUUCUCACCGUACAGAGCCGUACGAACCCGAGAGAAGAGA